rnacentral:rRNA from 1 species
UACGUAGGGGGCAAGCGUUGUCCGGAAUCAUUGGGCGUAAAGAGCGUGUAGGCGGCCCGGUAAGUCCGCUGUGAAAGUCCAGGGCUCAACCCUGGGAUGCCGGUGGAUACUGUCGGGCUCGAGUCCGGAAGAGGAGUGUGGAAUUCCUGGUGUAGCGGUGAAAUGCGCAGAUAUCAGGAGGAACACCGGUGGCGAAGGCGGAUCUCUGGGCCUUACCUGACGCUCAGGCGCGAAAGCUAGGGGAGCGAACAGG